rnacentral:rRNA from 1 species
GAGUUUGAUCAUGGCUCAGAUUGAACGCUGGCGGCAUGCCUUACACAUGCAAGUCGAACGGCAGCAUGAUCUAGCUUGCUAGAUUGAUGGCGAGUGGCGAACGGGUGAGUAAUACAUCGGAACGUGCCCUGUAGUGGGGGAUAACUAGUCGAAAGAUUAGCUAAUACCGCAUACGACCUGAGGGUGAAAGUGGGGGACCGCAAGGCCUCAUGCUAUAGGAGCGGCCGAUGUCUGAUUAGCUAGUUGGUGGGGUAAAGGCCCACCAAGGCGACGAUCAGUAGCUGGUCUGAGAGGACGAUCAGCCACACUGGGACUGAGACACGGCCCAGACUCCUACGGGAGGCAGCAGUGGGGAAUUUUGGACAAUGGGCGAAAGCCUGAUCCAGUAAUGCCGCGUGUGUGAAGAAGGCC